CGCGGGGUGGAGCAGUUUGGUAGCUCGUCAGGCUCAUAACCUGAAGGUCGUAGGUUCAAAUCCUGCCCCCGCUACCA
rnacentral:tRNA from 4 species